rnacentral:tRNA from 1 species
GCGCCCAUAGCUCAAUUGGAUAGAGCACUGGUCUACGGAACCAGGGGUUAGAGGUUCGAAUCCUCUUGGGCGUGCCA